GCUGAUCUGUCCUCGCUGCGUUUUCCUGUCACCAGGCAGAAAGGGUAACCUUUGUUUGUAAAUGCUGGGUCUCACUCCAGAACAUGCUUCUCGACCCAUAAUUGCUUUCAGAGCAUGCUGUUUCCACUUAGGGAAACCUGAGCUCCCUUCCAAAUGGCACUGGACAUGACCUGAAUUAUAUGUUUGCCUCCUGAAAUGAACACGCAAGUCAAGCCUGAUGCCUGCAAGUCACAAAGGCCUUGGGAUGUAGGAGGAACUGGCAAGGAGUUGGCUGAAGUGGGGAAAGCCAGGCUGUCUGGAGAAACAAACCAGAAUCAGAGCUUCCUACAGGUCCAGAUGCCACUCAGAGUACCUUCUUGUGCUGUCUCGUCCUGUGCCCAAACCCACUCCAGAAUAAAUAGCCCCAGCCCUCUGCCGGUUCCUCAGAAAGGCACAACUGAGGCCCAGCACUGCAGGCGGCCUGUCCGCUGGAGCUUCAGUGAAUCGGCAGCAGGAGCCAGAAGCUGACCCAGCAACCUGGACUCCCAGCCUGGAGCAGUCACCACAGGCUCCUGCAAAGCCAGAAAGCAGAGGCUUCGGAACGGGAGACUCUCCACCCUCAGUCUCUCCUCUUCUGAAUAUCUGCCCUGCACCAGGGACCAUUUCAGGUAACCAAUAUGUGGUUUGUACCACACCCAUGUAUCCCAAAUCCAAGCACUUCUCACUUCCUGCACCUGGACUAAGCCGUCGGCAUCUCCGAUGCUCUGCAGGGACCAUGCCUAACCGGCCCAAGCUUUGCUAUCUCUGCUUCCCUUUCGUGUCUUCUAGGCACAGCAGCCAGAAGAUCCUUUUAAAACCCAUGUCACAUCAUACUUGCCUCCUUCUUUAAAAUCCUCCAAGACUUUCCAUCGCAAUUAAAACGCAAGCUCAUUAUGCCCCCACCUGACCUCACUUCUGGGCCCCUGGCCCUCUUCCCACCAUUCUCUCCUCCCAGCACACUGGACACUUUGCUGUUCCUGGAUCCCAGCCAGCACCUCCUACCGCAGGGGCUUUGCUCUUGCUUUGCUCUCUACAUAUCCUUUCUUCCUCCAGAUAUCAUCUUGGCCCACCCCCUGCUUCUUUCAGUUCUGUGAUUAGGGUAACAUCCUUGGAGAGGCCUCCCUGGUCACGCAAGCUUAAAUGGUAUUUCUGCUUCAUGCUCCUCCCCUUAACCUGUCUCACUAGACCUCACACCACUCACUACUCACCAACAUCAAAAUGCACGUGUGUGUGUGUGUGUGUGUGUGUUUCCCCCCGUCUCCAUUUGAAUGUAAACUCCAUGCAAUAAGGGACUCUGUUAUCUUCCCUGCUGACACUAGAACCAUGCCUGGCACUGCCAAACUCUCGGGAAAUAUUCCCUUAGUGAAUGGAUUGGCCCCCAGGACACCCAGUGCUGAAACAGAUGUAAGAACUAGAGUCUCAGGUUUGGUUCUCCAGCCAGAGGGGUCUGGAAAGUCCCAGAGACCAACAACAGAUGGGACCCAUCCUGCCUGCAGUUUCCAAAGCAGUUCAAGGAUGAGAAGAGACUUUGAUCUGUCAAAGACAGCCACCAAAGAGACCAGACUACCACUAGUGCAGGACACUUCAAGGAGAGUCGAUCAUGAGCUACAAGGCUACCACUGCUACAUUUCCUAUAGCUCACUUCUUUUAAGACAUAAGCAAACCUCGCAUAAGCUGAGACAGCAAAUCUAAAUCUCUAGCCAGACAGCAAGCAUCCCUGGGGAAGUGGAGGACAGGAUCACCCUCCAAGUCACACAACGGACUUGCCCUGGGCCAUUCUCCAAAGGCCCCACUCGGGCCUUCCUCUGAACUCUGGGAUCUCCGCAGCUUGAGGAGUUCCUGAACCACAAGAAUAUUCCAGCCCAAUGCUCAGUGCUUCCUUCUGAACACCCCGGGGACCUGGACGUACCUCUGCCCAGAGGUACCAGCCUCCCUGCACCAGACUGGAGAAAACUACCCCUGGAGCAUGUGCACACCCAGACUGCAGGGACAGCCUCGCUGGGCUUCUGCAGCCAGGGCACCCACCCAUACACACACAAGAGUUCCAGGUUCCCAGUGGGGUGGGGUUGGAGGAGCAGCGGGGUGGCCAGGGCCCGGGGACAGCUCUCCCAGCCCCAUAUGUUCCAGCAUCAAAACUGUAAUAAUCUGCAGUGCUAAACAGAAGAUAUUCUUCCUCUUGUUAUAAAGGCUAUUUUGCUGCAGAAAAAGAAAAUGUGCACAUUUGUAACUCAGAGUUUGUAACUCUGAAGUCCUUAGCCAUACAUUAAAGGAAUCAGCAUUUCUACAGGCACCCUGGGCCCUACAAUGUCAGAACUGUGUUUGGAGGGCAAGGCAUCCCUCCCCAUCAGGGCCCCGGGACCCACAAAGCCCAUGGGGAAGGAAGAGGAAUUGGAGAGCCAAGCCCAAGAGCACCCUCCACCCUCCUUCUGAGAGUAGAAAGAGGCUUUCCUGGGAGGCAAAGUGAGUAGCCAGGGUCACUGAACUGUGGAGUGGGCCAUUCCCAAAAGAGGAAGGGAAGAGGAUGAGAUCAGAGCUUGGGGGUAGGGGUGAAGGAGGGCACCAAAGGGACUUCAGAAGGGCCUCUCCAGAAGGUACUUCUUUGGCACAUCAGUUCCCUACAAGGCUUCGAAGGAUUUGAGAGAUGGUAAAGAGGCUGGAAAAGGGGGAAGGGAUAUGUCUGGUUUUCCCAAACCUUGGAGCUACAGGCUGAGGAGUGGAGUUUGUCGCUAAGUCAGCCAAAUGAAGAAGCUGUUCAGGGGGUUCUCAGAACCAGGCUCAGAGCUGCCCAUCAAUUACUGCAGACAGGGCCAGUCCUCCACAAGGCACAGUGUCCAGGGCCCACACGACCUCAAAA